AUUACCGAAUGAAACUUUUGUAAAUUAUGCCAAACUCGCUGGCAUUAUUCUUAGCGUGUUUGUUUGUGUUGUUCACGAAAACAGGAAAAAAUGACUUCACAAAUUUGCAAAAAGUCAGUUAUUCUGUUUUGUUCUAAGUUUUUUUGCAUCAAAAAUUUAAAAUAGGCAAGCGAGAGUAUCAACUGCGGAUCACGGAAGGCAACUCGAAAAUGUUUGCUUGUCCGCAAAAGUUCGAUGAUUCCAAGCAAGUUUUUCUAUAUUUGAAUCUAAAAUAAUAAUCAAACCUACGAACUGCGGGAGUAUGGAAACUUCCGUGAAAACCGAACUCAACAGCCCUUGCUGCCCCAAUCAGCAGAUAUCGACAAAUUAUGUCCAGAAAUGGAACAGCCGAACCCGAACCUACAGCUACGGGACGGGGUAAGUUCCGGAAAAACAAAUCGGAUAAUGAAGCCCGUGAUUCGGUGUACCCAACGUUUCUGAUCGCUGAUGAAGUUCCGGAUCGACACUUGAAUAAGCCCGUAUGUGCAUCGAAUUACAAAAAUCGAUAACUUCGUCGUACUUUUUUUUUUUUAACAAAAUGUAAUAUUGUGAGAAAUUGUGUAUUCUAAGUUUUCAAUAAUAACUCGAGUGAUAAAACUAAA